UACGUAGGUGGCAAGCGUUGUCCGGAUUUACUGGGCGUAAAGCGCACGUAGGUGGCGACGUAAGUCGGGUGUGAAAUCCCCGGGCUCAACCUGGGAACUGCAUUUGUGACUGCAUCGCUGGAGUGCGGCAGAGGGGGAUGGAAUUCCGCGUGUAGCAGUGAAAUGCGUAGAUAUGCGGAGGAACACCGAUGGCGAAGGCAAUCCCCUGGGCCUGCACUGACGCUCAUGCACGAAAGCGUGGGGAGCAAACAGG
rnacentral:rRNA from 1 species